rnacentral:rRNA from 1 species
AUUGAACGCUGGCGGCAGGCCUAACACAUGCAAGUCGAGCGGAUGAAGGUAGCUUGCUCCUGGAUUCAGCGGCGGACGGGUGAGUAAUGCCUAGGAAUCUGCCUGGUAGUGGGGGAUAACGUCCGGAAACGGGCGCUAAUACCGCAUACGUCCUGAGGGAGAAAGUGGGGGAUCUUCGGACCUCACGCUAUCAGAUGAACCUAGGUCGGAUUAUCUAGUUGGUGGGGUAAAGGCCUACCAAGGCGACGAUCCGUAACUGGUCUGAGAGGAUGAUCAGUCACACUGGAACUGAGACACGGUCCAGACUCCUACGGGAGGCAGCAGUGGGGAAUAUUGGACAAUGGGCGAAAGCCUGAUCCAGCCAUGCCGCGUGUGUGAAGAAGGUCUUCGGAUUGUAAAGCACUUUAAGUUGGGAGGAAGGGCAGUAAGUUAAUACCUUGCUGUUUUGACGUUACCAACAGAAUAAGCACCGGCUAACUUCGUG